rnacentral:rRNA from 1 species
UACGUAGGGUGCGAGCGUUGUCCGGAAUUAUUGGGCGUAAAGAGCUUGUAGGCGGUUUGUCGCGUCUGCUGUGAAAAUCCGGGGCUUAACUCUGGACGUGCAGUGGGUACGGGCAGGCUAGAGUGUGGUAGGGGAGACUGGAAUUCCUGGUGUAGCGGUGGAAUGCGCAGAUAUCAGGAGGAACACCGAUGGCGAAGGCAGGUCUCUGGGCCAUUACUGACGCUGAGAAGCGAAAGCAUGGGUAGCGAACAGGAUUAGA